rnacentral:ncRNA from 1 species
UUGGCUAGAUAAGUAAAGUCGUAACAAGGUUUCAGUUGGAGAACCAGCUGAAGGAUCAUUU